GCUUUUUCUCAUUCCAUCUUAAAAUGAGGUCCCAGAGGGAAGGCAGCAUUCCCCACAAGGCCAAUAGGAAGAGCGGGGGCCAUCCUGGAUAUGCAUGCUCAACCACCAGGUGGGGAGUGAGAGAGAGAAGAACUUCUGUGGUAAAACCUUUACAGGGGUCCAAGGUGAGAUACAAGAAGGCUUCCCGUGGUGAGUUCUAAUUGAAUUUUCUCAUUCACACUGCUAUGAGUGAUUCCACUAAUAGAACAGCAUCUCAUACAUUCAGUCCUGGAAUACUAGAGCAAAGCCUCCACUGAACUUCUACUGAGACUUGGUGCAGUACUACAUUUUGUUGCUGGCAGAAACUACCUUGUGUCAUUCUGAUUUGCUAUGACUCCAGAUGCUGAUCAGAUAUAGAGCUUGUAUAGAGCUAUUACUCUUUAAUUUCGUUUUCCUCUAAAGAACUACCUGAGACUGAGUAAUUUAUAAAUCAAGGAGGUUUAAUUGACUCAGAGUUGUGCAUGGCUGGGAAGGCCUCAGGAAACUUGCAAUUAUGGUGGAAGGCAGAGAGGAAGCAGUAAGGCACAUCUUACAUGGCAGCAGGAUGCGGGGAGUGCUACAACUUGAGAGCACCAGAUCUCGUGAGAACUCACUAUUACAAGAACAGCAUGGGGAAAACUGCCGCCAUGAUUCAGUCACCUCCCACUGAUGGCAGUGGCAGCCGUCUGGAGUGGCCUCUGUGAUGACGACACUUGCAGGAGGCAAGGUACUGCUGCGGCUGCUUGCUCUGUGCAUCUGGCAAGAGUUCCGAAGAGGUGAGAGCCCUACCCCCUACCGAGUUGACAGGCGGGAGCCCCACGUUUCUUCAUGCAACAGCAGGGACUCAGCUGUGGUCCCGGAACCUGGGUAUCUCUGUGCUCUUGGGGACCUGGUCCACCCAUGGCUGCCCAUAGACCAAUCAGCAUGCACUUUCUCCUUUCUGAGCCCAUAACAUCCCCGGACUCAGCCAGACUCACCAUCUGCGGGAAGGAGCUCCCCACUUUGGGUCUCCUCAGUUCUUCCAGAUGAGUGUCCUGCAGAAAGGAGAUACCCACUCUAGGUCUCCUCACUGCAGAGACCUGGAUACUUAACAGGACGACCUGACUGUGGAAAGGAGUUACCCACUUUGGGUCUCCUGAGAGCUGUUCUGUCCCUCACCGAAGCUCCUCUGUGCCUUGCUCACCCUCCAGUUGUCUGCGUACCUCAUUCCUCAUUGAUGUGGAACAAGAACUUGGGACAGGAUGAAUGGUGGGAUUGAAAGAGUGGUAAACAAGCAGGGCUGAAACACACCACUCUGCUUGCCAUGUUGUGGAUGACAAGAAGGAGAGAAUAGCUGCAGCCCUUCGGGAGGCCAGGCACAGGGACUCCCCAAGCCAGGGUUGUGACACCCUCUUUGGGCUCUGCAAUUACUUGUGUCUCCAAGCUUCUAGGUUCCACUACGUUCCCCUAGUCCAGAUGCGAGUGCCCACAGUGAAAGCCGCAUGCAGUACAUCUGGUCCAGCCACAGCCUUGCAUGGAGCUGGCAUCUGUGCUGGGGCCUGUAGCUGCCCGCCCCACCACAGCAACCAGUGUGCCUGGCUGUGCAUAGUGGCUGAACCCGCGCUUACUCAUGCACACUUCCCUCACUGCUCCAUGCCUGACUCGCUGUUGGCAGGCGUGGGAGCUGGGCCAACAGUGUGAGCCAAGUGCAGCCUGCUGAGUCGAGUGGGCAGGAAAAUCCCAGUGAGCGUGAGCAAUAUUCAGGCAGAAGGCACUGCCAGCCACAGAGGUUUCUGGCUGGUGAAAUAACACCCCAAGGAGCCCAUGACAUCACCAGGUCUCUCUCUCAAUAUGUGGAGAUUACAAUUUGAGAUGAGAUUUGGGUGGGGACGCAGAGCCAAACCAUAUCAUUCCUAUUAUUAUUUUAUAUUAAACUUUUGAAGCUUACUUUACUAUUUAGGUAGCAAUGCAUUUAGUGAGACUGUUCAAAUCAUUUGAUGAUAAUUGAUAAAAUAUCUUUGGAAUUGUGUGCCUUCUCAUUUCCAGAAAGUAUUGGAAGUUUUUACUUGUACCAUGGAUAGCUACAUCUUGUUACACGGAAACGGAGUGGUUUCAUUUUUGUUUGGAAGCUUUAAUGUAUAAAAAUCUUUAUAUGAAAGUGGAGUAAGCAAACGGGUAUAUUGGUCUAUCAAUUUAUUACUUGCAGUACCAAAUCUACUUCCCUUUUUCCUACUUUGUGAGAUCAGAGCUAAACUCUUAAUAUUUUUCCUUUGCCACUUGGUACAAGUAGACUUUGUCAGUAGAGGAGGCCAGCGGGACACUGAAGCUCAAAGCAAUGUAUGCUCCUGGUUGCUUUAUUUCCUCCUAUGUUAUGGGUACAAGGUGGAGGACCAGUGGUGCUCAGGUUUCAGUGCAUCUACAGAAUACCACUUCCUGUGAAUCAGCUCGAGCACACUAGUACUUUCAAGUGAUCUUCUUGGUCACAUAGUGUACAGUUUCCAUAUACAAAUAUGGCUCACCUGAAUCUUUUAACAAGUUUAUCAGCCAUACAGUGGCCACGCUUGCAAACUAGCUCCAAUCUGCGCAUUGUGAGAAAUUUUUUUGCUAUAGGUAUGCUGCUGGCUCAGGUGGUAGCCCCACUGUCUCCAAUAAUGUCUGCUUCUCAGCCUGGGAAGAGUGUGCUGUUAUAUAUUCUCAGUUUCUUCAAUGUUUUCUCUUGCUCACCCCUAGAAAUAAAAGCAAAUUUCUACAUUUCUAUUUCUUUGUUCCUUGGAUGUCUCAUUCCCCUUUUUUAGUAGCUAAUCAUCUUUUACUAGUUAGUAAUUAUUUAUAAUAAAAACUUUUUUUGAUCACUGAUAUGCUUUCUGUCUCUUGACUAGACCCUAACUGAUAUACCUACAUUGAAAUAAGUUGUAGGUUGCAUAAAAUUUGUUGAACAUUUCUGCUUCAACACAAAUUAAGAUGAGCACAGUUGAACACAAUAAUUAUUUUACAAAAGUAUUAUAUCAUCAUCAUAACAAUUAUAGAGGGACAUUAAAUAUCCUGCAGAAUCAAGUACUGACAUAAUAUUUUAUUUGUAGCUUUAAAAAAGGUAAUAUUUAAAAAAAACUUAUUUGCUGAAUGUUUACUCAUGGUUAACAUCUUUCUUGGUCAAAAUUGAGGCACUGAUUAUUAUUCUCUACCAAAUAAUUGUUUCAUAUAACUGUGAUACAGAUAACAAAACAUGUUGACUUUUAUCUCACAUUCUCUGUUAAUUAUUAUUUGCUUUUCCCCCAUUUUUGAGUAGUAAAUACUAAGUAAAGUGAAUAAAAAAAUUGACUCCAGAUUCAAUACAUAAUAUCAGUACAAAUAGCAAAGGUAUUUGUCUGUAGGGUCACCCAUCACCAAAAUGAUUCAAUCAAAGUUAUAUAUUUACUAUGCAGUCUAGUUAAGAUUGAAAUUAGAAAAGGAGUUAUUAUUUCUACACAAAUACUUAUUUUGUGAUUUGUCAAAAAUUACCACAUUCUUUGGAUAACAAAACAGUAAACAGUGCAAAGGAAUUGCUGUUGUUGUUGUUCUGUUGUCAUAGCAUUGAGAUUUUUGAUAUGAGCAUAAAGCUUCUCACACCAACAUUAAUCUCUUGAGUUAUAUACAUUAGUAUAUAUUUUGCUUGUGAGCAGUGAUCAUGUUUCUUUAGCCUUAUUUAUUUGCUGCUUUGCCAUGUAUAUAUAUAUGGAUGGGCAACAUUUGUCAUUGCCUCCCUUAAAAUAGAUUCUGUUUCAAAAGCUUUAACAUGGACUACAUUAAAGUCUGAUCAAGGUAUGCUGAGACAAAUCUGUGGAUUUGGUUCUGUGUUGUAUUGAUGUUUGUUUUCUAUGGCUGUUUAUUUUCCAGUCAUGUAGAAAGAUUCCUAAGAGAAUAUAUUCCAGAUUGACUUUUUAUGGGUCUUUAGUAGAAUCUAGAAUGCUAUUUCAGGAGAUCUUGUGGUUCAUCUGCAGAAACAUAUCACCUAAUUGAAGAGCCCCACUCCUUCUCCAAUCAUGGACAUCUGCAAGUUUAAGAUGGUGACCAAAGUCCUGCACAAAAUCUUAAGUAUGGUCCUAGAAACUCAGAACCUCUAAGCUUGCUAGUCUCUGAACCUAGAAAUAUCCAUGAUCAAGUUAAUAGAAGAUGGCACAUUCUAGACAAAAAUUUUGUGGAACUUUUAAUAAUACGAUCAUGCCUGCUAGUAACAAAAGUUAAAAAAAAAUUAUCAACAAUAUAACACAUUGUGUGAUUUAAAACAGAAGUUAGAUUAAAGCAUAUAUUAAAAUUCAAGCUAUAUUCCCUUCUCACCCUUAUACUGUGGUGAGAAUUGUGCAAAUAGACUUCUACCUGUCCUUUGAUAUUGAAGAAAAUGAAAUAAUGCCACCCUCCCCCCAAAUAAAUGUUUUUGUUUUGUUUUGUUUUGUUUUUUUGACGGAGUCUCUGUCACCCAGGCUGGAGUGCAGUGGCAUGAUCUUUGCUCACUGCAACCUCCACCUCUGAGGUUCAAGCAAUUCUCCUGCCUCAGCCUCCCGAGUAGCUGAGACUACAGGCGUACACCACCACACCGGCUAAUUUUUUGUAUUUUUAGUAGAGACGGGGUUUCACCAUGUUAGGAUUAUCUCGAUCUCCUGACCUCAUGAUCCGCCCAUCUUGGCCUCCUAAAGUGCUGAGAUUACAGGCAUGAGCCACGGUUCCUGGCCCAAAUAAAGCUUUUGAAAGAAAAGUUAUAGCAUUCACAUGAGAGGGUUUUUUUUUUGAAAAAUUGUAUGCCAAAUGUAAGGUUUAUUCCAUGGUGUAAUUUGUAGAUAAUCUAUAUAGUACUAACAAUAUAAUUGUACUUUUUUUAACUAUAGUUCCUCUUUUGUUUUGUAAAUUCAUUAUAAAUUGUUUAUCAAUUAUACUGUCAUCAUUAAAGAAUGAGAAAGAAAACUCUCAAGAGCAUUUUUAAUUGUAAUGAUUUGAUUAAACAAGAAGUGCUGUAAAGAAGGUAAUGAAUCAAGCCUAAACAGCAAAAUGGAGUAACUCUUCCAGGAUUUAUAUAAAAGUAUUUAUAGAUAUAUUAUGGUGUGCUUUGUAAUUUAUGAAAGUAAAUUAUAAUAACACUUCAAUCGAUUUGUAAAAACAUAAACAACAAAAGUAAAAUAUGUUUUUUCUUUUUUCUUUUUUUUCUUU
rnacentral:lncRNA from 1 species